rnacentral:rRNA from 1 species
UUGGGUUUAAAGGGAGCGUAGGCGGAUUAUUAAGUCAGUGGUGAAAGACGGUGGCUCAACCAUCGUUAGCCAUUGAAACUGGUAGUCUUGAGUGCAGACAGGGAUGCUGGAACUCGUGGUGUAGCGGUGAAAUGCUUAGAUAUCACGAUGAACUCCGAUCGCGAAGGCAGGUGUCCGGGCUGCAACUGACGCUGAGGCUCGAAAGUGUGGGUAUCAAACAGGAUUAGAUACCCUGGUAGUCCACACAGUAAACGAUGUAUACUCGCGGUUUGCGAUAGAAUGUAAGCCGCCAAGCGAAAGCAUUAAGUAUACCACCUGGGGAGUACGCCGGCAACGGUGAAACUCAAAGGAAUUGACGGGGGCCCGCACAAGCGGUGGAGCAUGUGGUUUAAUUCGAAGCAACGCGAAGAACCUUACCAGGUCUUGACAUCCCGAUGCUAUUUCUAGAGAUAGAAAGUUACUUCGGUACAUCGGUGACAGGUGGUGCAUGGUUGUCGUCAGCUCGUGUCGUGA